UGCAGUGUGCCUAACAUAUUACCUGAUAUUUUACCAUUAGCGGGUUUCUCUCUUGGCUAAAGGACUGUAGAGAAAGGAACAGCUACAUCUGCCUAGAGAAAUCCAUACAGAAGAGGGAAAUGCUUGUGCUGAGGCUUGAAAGAGGAGGAAACACUGGCUCCAUGAAGCCUUCAUCGACCCUCAAGGAUUGCUCCUUCCUGUCCUUUAUUUCCAUUGAUAAGAAAAAGCUGUCUGUAACUGAUUUCCAGGCCGAAGUACAAGAACAGCUUCCCACUGUCGCUAGUCUCUGGGUGCCUCAACAUCCCUUGUUUGUUUCUUUAACCUGCUUGUAACCGGUAGGCGCGGAGUUUAUUACCUGUUUUCUUGUGAGAAGACAAACUCAGAGUGGAAGAGAACUUGUCCCAGGUCACCCUUGGUGGAGGUGAGCUCAGAUCAGCCUGACCUCACAACCCAACAAGAAGCAGUGCAAGCAGGAAAUGUGUACAUUCUAUAGUCCAUUCAUCCAAGUUGACAAGAAGAAACCUCAGGCAUGAAGACAGAACAAGCAUUUCUCAACAAUACAAAGUGAUAAAGCGUCAAAAUGAGCUUC
rnacentral:lncRNA from 10 species